CAAGACCUGCGCUUUUGGAGCGGCCGAUGCCUGAUUAGCUUGUUGGUAAGGUAAAAGCUUACCAAGGCUUCGAUCAGUAGCUGGUCUGAGAGGACGACCAGCCACACUGGGACUGAGACACGGCCCAGACUCCUACGGGAGGCAGCAGUGGGGAAUUUUGGACAAUGGGCGCAAGCCUGAUCCAGCCAUGCCGCGUGAGUGAAGAAGGCCUUCGGGUUGUAAAGCUCUUUCAGCCGGGAAGAAAAGGUUGCGAUUAAUAAUCGCAAUUUAUGACGGUACCGGAAGAAGAAGCACCGGCUAACUACGUGCCAGCAGCCGCGGUAAUACGUAGGGUGCGAGCGUUAAUCGGAAUUACUGGGCGUAAAGGGUGCGCAGGCGGUUUUGUAAGUCAGAUGUGAAAUCCCCGGGCUUAACCUGGGAACU
rnacentral:rRNA from 1 species